rnacentral:lncRNA from 1 species
AAUGCUCAUCUAAGUGUAAACUGUUAUAAUAUGACUUAAGGCGUGAAAGGAGUAUACCUUGACCUCUUGAGUUAUCAUCUAACAAAUCAGUCUCCAAGAGGUCCAUGCAAAUUGAAUUUGCAUAGUUGGUUUUACCAUUUACAGUCUUACCUUCAAUGGGCAGUCCCAAAGUUAUCAUCUAACAAAUCAGUCUCCAAGAGGUCCAUGCAAAUUGAAUUUGCAUAGUUGGUUUUACCAUUUACAGUCUUACCUUCAAUGGGCAGUCCCAAAAGCAUGUAGACGUCUUCUAACGUCACAGUACACUCACCGGUUGAAAACCAGAAUGUG